rnacentral:rRNA from 1 species
CCAAGUUAGAGUAUUGGGCCUAAGCAUCCGUAGCCGGCUGUUCAAGUUUCCGGUUAAAUCCACACGCUUAACGUAUGGGCUGCCGGAAAUACUGUUCAGCUAGGGAGUGGGAGAGGUAGACGGUACUCGAUAGGUAGGGGUAAAAUCCUUCGAUCUAUUAAUGACCACCUGUGGCGAAGGCGGUCUACCAGAACACGUUCGACGGUGAGGGAUGAAAGCUGGGGGAGCAAACCGGAUUAGAUACCCGGGUAGUCCCAGCUGUAAACGAUGCAGACUCGGUGAUGCACUGGCUUUUGGCCAGUGCAGUGCCGCAGGGAAGCCGUUAAGUUUGCCGCCUGGGAAGUACGUACGCAAGUAUGAAACUUAAAGGAAUUGGCGGGGGAGCAC